AGAAGCCAUCGGGAGUUUACCGAAGUAUAACUAUAAAGAAUCAACACGUUGAUAUUCGCAAGUAAUUUCAUACAGAUCCUCAUUCUAAAAGGUGCCUCCAAUAAAACAAAAAUGCCUGCAAGAAAGAAGGAACCCCUCGGACGCUCAAGUCCGGCAUCGGCAUCAAACCAACCGUCACCAUCAACUCGAACAAGAGAGACGCAAGAAAAAGUUAAACCCAAGAAGUCACCUAAGGCUACUAGUGUCCCGAAGAAAAAAAGGACAGUGAGCGGUUCUGGAAUUCGUAAGCAUAAACGGCAACAUUCAAAGAAAACUAGCAAGUCUAAAUCCCGUUCGAGGAAGACUAAGUAGACGGGCGGAAACACCACUAGAAGGUCUGUAAUUGGAAAUAUCACAUCAUUUGUCAAGGACCUCCAAUCACCUCCUCUCAAGCUGUUUCAUCAACUCAUCCCAAACUUGAGGCAACGGAUUUGUAAACCUCAACAUCUACAAAAAAUUAACACAAGAGAACUUCAUUAUGAACUGAAUUGUAAAGUUUGAUAAACCUUACCUAGCCUACACAAAUAAUAAUUACAUCACGUAGUUAAACAUAUUAAAGAUGACUAUUCUAUCUCCUAGUUUAAGCAUGCAUCAUUGACAUCGAAACUUAACAACUUGACAGCCUGAAUCUGAUGUAAUGAAACUCAUGAUAUCAAUAACUUAGAGUAAUAAUGCUGCAUGAUACAACGAUUAAAAUAUUUGAAAAUGUUAAAAAAGUUCCAUUAAAGAAGAGUAAUUACACAUCACACUGGAAACAUUGCAACUGUAGUUGCGGGAGUGCUGACGAAGUCUCAAUAGUGAAAUCUCACUCUUUUCAUCCUAAAACAAUUGUGUAUUUACUAAUAACAGCAUGCAAGUAAUACAACACAAAUCUAUCCCCAUUAAGCAUAUUACUAGUUAAAGCAGCAAAUACUCAGAGUCAGAACUAAAUGAAUACAACUGAAUCGGAGACGUUUUGGUGAAAUCGCAAGCGCCAUUUUAUGUACAGACUUCCUUGAAGUUCAACGGAAUUUGCUCUGGAUGUGAUGUGAUUAAAUUUCCAAGCAAAAAGUCUGGA